rnacentral:rRNA from 1 species
GAUGAACGCUAGCGGCAGGCUUAAUACAUGCAAGUCGUGGGGCAGCAGGUUUGUAGCAAUACAGAUGCUGGCGACCGGCAAACGGGUGCGGAACACGUACAGAACCUUCCUUUGAGCGGGGAAUAGCCCAGAGAAAUUUGGAUUAAUACCCCAUAGUAUAAUGAAGUGGCAUCACUUUAUUAUUAAAGAUUUAUCACUCGAAGAUGGCUGUGCGGCUGAUUAGGUAGUUGGCGGGGUAAAGGCCCACCAAGCCUGCGAUCAGUAACUGGUGUGAGAGCACGACCAGUCACACGGGCACUGAGACACGGGCCCGACUCCUACGGGAGCAGCAGUAAGGAAUAUUGGUCAAUGGAGGCAACUCUGAACCAGCCAUGCCGCGUGGAGGAUGAAGGUCCUCUGGAUUGUAAACUUCUUUAUAUGGGACGAAAAAAGGCUUUCUAAGUCGUCUGACGGUACCAUAUGAAUAAGCACCGGCUAAACUCCGUAGCCAGCAGCCGACGG